GUGGGGAAUCUUGCGCAAUGGGCGAAAGCCUGACGCAGCCAUGCCGCGUGAAUGAUGAAGGUCUUAGGAUUGUAAAAUUCUUUCACCGGGGACGAUAAUGACGGUACCCGGAGAAGAAGCCCCGGCUAACUUCGUCCCAGCAGCCGCGGUAAUACGAAGGGGGCUAGCGUUGCUCGGAAUUACUGGGCGUAAAGGGCGCGUAGGCGGAUCGUUAAGUCAGGGGUGAAAUCCCAGAGCUCAACUCUGGAACUGCCCUUGAUACUGGCGAUCUUGAGUGUGAGAGGGGUAUGUGGAACUCCGAGUGUAGAGGUGAAAUUCGUAGAUAUUCGGAAGAACACCAGUGGCGAAGGCGACAUACUGGCUCAUUACUGACGCUGAGGCGCGAAAGCGUGGGGAGCAAACAGGAUUAGAUACCCGGGUAGUCC
rnacentral:rRNA from 1 species